AUACGUAGGGGGCGAGCGUUGUCCGGAAUUACUGGGCGUAAAGGGAGCGUAGGCGGCCAAUUAAGUCAGAUGUGAAAUUCCCGGGCUUAACCUGGGCAGUGCAUCUGAAACUGGAUGGCUUGAGUGCGGGAGAGGAAAGUGGAAUUCCUAGUGUAGCGGUGAAAUGCGUAGAUAUUAGGAGGAACACCAGUGGCGAAGGCGACUUUCUGGACCGUAACUGACGCUGAGGCUCGAAAGCGUGGGGAGC
rnacentral:rRNA from 1 species